CACCUCUAGCAUACCAAGUAUUAGAGGCACUGCCUGCCCAGUGACUAACGUUCAACGGCCGCGGUAUCCUAACCGUGCAAAGGUAGCAUAAUCACUUGUUCCUUAAUUAGGGACUAGAAUGAAUGGCUAAACGAGGGCUCAACUGUCUCUUAUUCCCAAUCAGUGAAAUUGACCUUUCCGUGAAGAGGCGGAAAUCACACUAUAAGACGAGAAGACCCUAUGGAGCUUAAAUUUCCUAACCUAAGUAUAUGCUCAAUUAACCUACUGGACUAACACCCAAACUACUAGGUUAGUAAUUUUGGUUGGGGUGACCUCGGAGAACAAAAAAACCUCCGAAAGACAUUAAUCUAGACACACAAGUCAAAAUAAAACUUUAUCCAAUUGACCCAAUAUUUUUUGAUCAACGGACCAAGUUACCCUAGGGAUAACAGCGCAAUCCUAUUCAAGAGUUCAUAUCGACAAUCAGGGUUUACGACCUCGAUGUUGGAUCAGGACAUCCCAAUGGUGCAGAAGCUAUUAAAGGUUCGUUUGUUCAACGAUUAAAGUCCU
rnacentral:rRNA from 2 species